GCCAAUUUAUAAAGAGAACUUAAAUUAUCUUCACCUAAAUCAAGAUUGAUAGCAUUGUAUGCUAAUUGUGAUAAGGACUUGUGCUUGAUUCCCGAGUCACCCUUUUACCUUGAAAGAGAUGGUCUAGAAUUUGGAAAUAAGCUACUCGAGGAUGUGAGUCUAUAUCUCAAAAAUCAAGAGAUGGAUUCUAGGGCGUAUUCUCUUGCUUGAGUGUUAAAUGUGUUGUUUGUCAAGCCUAGCAAUUGUGAGUAGAUCACCUUUGAAAGUUAGUAGAGGAAGAACUUGAAGAGGAGUAUUUGUGUGGUAAGUAAUUCAACUUUAAGGCCAAACUUUGCAGUUGGCAUUAUGCAUACUUGUGAAAGAAGUGCUAGUGUGUUAAUAAUGCUCAAUCAGCCAGUGGUCUAUGAAAGCUUUUAUUCAUCAUCCCUCGGUGAUUCCCCUAACAGCUCUGGAGGCUUUUGGCUAUAUGAUGACAUGUGAAAUUAAAAUGUGUAUUGCCGCAUCUGGUGCACUUUUUGUACUAUUGGGAGCCAUGGUUUCUAAGCUUUUCACUAAUCGGACAAUCUAUGCAAAUAAGGUCUUGACUCCUAUAUGUAGUGUGCAGCACUUGUAACGCUCAUGCUCAUUAUAGCCAUAAAUUUGCCCCUCAGAUUUCUACCUCAUGUGGACAAUUCAGCUCAAAUUGAAGGAUUCCAGUCAGGAUUUCCCCUUGGCUUGGAUAUGU